AUCCAGCUGAAGAGUCCCAAAUAGGAUGAAACACGCAUCCUGGAU
rnacentral:hammerhead_ribozyme from 1 species